rnacentral:rRNA from 1 species
AACGAACGCUGGCGGCAUGCCUAACACAUGCAAGUCGAACGAGACCUCCGGGUCUAGUGGCGCACGGGUGCGUAACGUGUGGGAACCUGCCCUUAGGCUCGGAAUAACUCUUCGAAAGGGGUGCUAAUACAGGAUAAUGUCUUCGGACCAAAGAUUUAUCGACUUUGGAUGGGCCCGGGUUGGUUUAGCUUGUUGGUAGGGUAAAAGCCUACCACGGCGAGGCUCCAUAGCUGGUCUGAGAGGAUGGGCAGCGACACUGGGACUGGGACACGGCCGGGACUACUGCGGGAGGCAGCAGUGGGGGAUAUAGGACAAUGGGCGGAGGGCAGAACCAGCAAGGCCGGGUGAGUGAUGAAGGCCUUAGAGAAAUAAAGCACGUUAACCCGGCAUGGUAAUGACGGUACCGAAAGAAUAAGCACCGGCUAACUCCGUG